UACGAAGGGUGCAAGCGUUAAUCGGAAUUACUGGGCGUAAAGCGCGCGUAGGUGGUUCAGCAAGUUGGAUGUGAAAAGCCCCUGGGCUCAACCUGGGAACGUGCAUCCAAACCUACUGAGCUAGAGUGCGGUAGAGGGUAGUGGAAUUUCCUGUGUAGCGGUGAAAUGCGUAGAUAUAGGAAGGAACACCAGUGGCGAAGGCGACUACCGUGACUGAUACGUGAC
rnacentral:rRNA from 1 species